GGAUUGCCUCAGUAACGGCGAGUGAAGCGGCAACAGCUCAAAUUUGAAAUCUGGCCUCUUUGGGGUCCGAGUUGUAAUUUGUAGAGGAUGUUUCGGGCACCGCUCCGGUUUAAAUUUCUUGGAACAGAAUGUCAAAGAGGGUGAGAACCCCGUCUUGGACCGGCAGUAGGGCCCAUGUGAAACUCCUUCGACGAGUCGAGUUGUUUGGGAAUGCAGCUCAAAUGGGUGGUAAAUUUCAUCUAAAGCUAAAUAUUGGCCAGAGACCGAUAGCGCACAAGUAGAGUGAUCGAAAGAUGAAAAGCACUUUGAAAAGAGAGUUAAACAGUACGUGAAAUUGUUGAAAGGGAAGCGCUUGCAACCAGACUUGCGCGCGGCGGUUCCCCCUUCCUUCUGGUUGGGUUAUUCCGCCGUGUCCAGGCCAACAUCGGUUCUGGGGGUCGGUUAAAGGCCUGGGGAAUGUAUCUACCCUUCGGGCGUAGACUUAUAGCCCCGGGUGUCAUGCGACCUCCCGGGACCGAGGAACGCGCUUCGGCUCGGAUGUUGGCGUAAUGGUUGUCAGCGACCCGUCUUGAAACACGCCACCCA
rnacentral:rRNA from 1 species